rnacentral:rRNA from 1 species
GACGAACGAGGGUGGAGGGAGGAACACAGGCAAGUCGAACGGAAAGGCCCUGCUUGCAGGGUACUCGAGUGGCGAACGGGUGAGUAACACGUGGGUGAUCUGCCCUGCACUUCGGGAUAAGCCUGGGAAACUGGGUCUAAUACCGGAUAGGAGCCAUUUUUAGUGUGAUGGUUGGAAAGUUUUUUCGGUGUAGGAUGAGCUCGCGGCCUCUCAGCUUGUUGGUGGGGUAAUGGCCUACCAAGGCGGCGACGGGUAGCCGGCCUGAGAGGGUGGACGGCCACAUUGGGACUGAGAUACGGCCCAGACUCCUACGGGAGGCAGCAGUGGGGAAUAUUGCACAAUGGGCGCAAGCCUGAUGCAGCGACGCCGCGUGGGGGAUGACGGCCUUCGGGUUGUAAACUCCUUUCGCUAGGGACGAAGCUUUUUGUGACGGUACCUAGAUAAGAAGCACCGGCUAACUACGUG